CCUACGGGAGGCAGCAGUGGGGAAUAUUGCACAAUGGGGGAAACCCUGAUGCAGCGACGCCGCGUGAGUGAAGAAGUAUCUCGGUACGUAAAGCUCUAUCAGCAGGGAAGAAAAUGACGGUACCUGACUAAGAAGCCCCGGCUAACUACGUGCCAGCAGCCGCGGUAAUACGUAGGGGGCAAGCGUUAUCCGGAUUUACUGGGUGGAAAGGGAGCGUAGACGGCAGCACAAGUCUGGAGUGAAAUCCCGGGGCUUAACCCCGGAACUGCUUUGGAAACUGUGCGGCUGGAGUGCAGGAGGGGUAAGCGGAAUUCCUAGUGUAGCGGUGAAAUGCGUAGAUAUUAGGAGGAACCCCGAUUGCGAAGGCAGCCUGCCGGGGUGCGACUGACGCUGAGGCUCGAAGGUGCGGGUAUCAAACAGGAUUAGAUACCCGAGUAGUC
rnacentral:rRNA from 1 species